rnacentral:rRNA from 1 species
UACGGGGGGAGGCAAGCGUUGUUCGGAUUUACUGGGCGUAAAGGGCGCGUAGGCGGCCACCGCAAGUCGACUGUGAAAUCUCCGGGCUUAACCCGGAAAGGUCAGCCGAUACUGCGGGGCUAGAGUGCAGAGGGCAACUGGAAUUCUCGGUGUAGCGGUGAAAUGCGUAGAUAUCGAGAGGAACACCUGCGGCGAAGGCGGGUUGCUGGGCUGACACUGACGCUGAGGCGCGAAAGCCAGGGGAGCGAACGGG